AUAGGUCUAUGAGCUUUAUACUUGAUACGCAUCUUUUCUUCGUUCUGUUUUCUUCCUUCUUUUUCUCUUUUCACCCAUCUCAUUUUGAAGAGUCCAGCCAUUCUCAAAUAGCCAAGGUAAAUCAUGUAGAGCAGCAAAAAAAGGAAGGGAAGACUUCCAAAGUAUUCAGUAUCAAAGUAAAUGCAUGAUAUUACGAAUAAAAUCAUUGAAAAAAAAGUC
rnacentral:ribozyme from 11 species